rnacentral:lncRNA from 1 species
UUUUUGUAACUGCGAGCAAGGGCUGUUCCCAGUGGUGAUCAGGCUGCAGUUUGUGGUUGUCAGGUCAUCGUGCUGAACACCUUGGACGCACACAGUGGCCAAGUGUCACUCACCCUCAGUAAAACCGAGAAUGUGUCUGCUGGUUGACAACGGAACAUAUCCAUUCUAUAUGGCCGGUCUCGAACCUCCAAAUGCACAUUUACGUGUGCAGACACGUGAACUGAGGUCCGGCGGCCACUAGCUCCCACCACCAUACAGAAAAAGAGCACGAUGCACCCGCCUUGCGGGAACUGCUACUGGAAGAAGUCACUGGCUGCCAACUUGAUGGCCUUCUCCACAGUGAACAAGGUCAGGUCACUGCCCCCCAGAAGGGAAUGGUGAGGGUUGGGGGCAUCUGCAGCCACAGGGACCAGCUCCAGCC